AGCACCAACAACUUCCUGCUGCUGCUGUGUGCAGAAGGCCAGCAGCGGCUACCCCGGGAGAUGAAACAGUUGCUUCCGAGUGAGGCGUGGUGAGCUGUGCAGCCCUCACCUGAUCCUUAGCGACGCGGGAGCGCCUUGGACUGCGUGGGCAAGGCAGCUUCCUGUCUGAAUGCUCAGCCAGGAGGCGUUGAGCUCACCCGCACCAACAGCCCUGGAACACACAGGCACCCCAAGGAGGUGGAUUGCUAGCUACCUGUCUUCUCCGUGUGGCUCCAGCUCUACGUGUGUGCCACAGUUCCACCCUGGACCUCGUAAACAGUGUCCUUACAGGAAGAGGAUGGUGACACCCAGGCCGUGUGACGGUGGAGACUCCAAAUAGGAGUGACGUAUCUAAUGGGUGAAGAAUGCUGGGGCUCAGGGAUCCUCCGGCCUUCGGCACUGGAGACGGAGGGCUCAUCUGUGGCUUGUAAGUGACAUGGCUGCUUCUCUGGUGCCUUCGCCUCAGACCUCAGCUUCCAGGGCUGACCGACAGAUAGUGCUUUGUGGUUUCCAGACACUCAGCCUGUGGUGCUUUGGGUCCGCACCCUGGCCACUGAGGGAGGAAAGCAGCUUUGCCCCGGCAUCCACUUAGACAGCAUUCACAGGGUCUGAGCCCUCCCUGUCUGUGGCCGGGGUGGUGGUUUGAAUGCGAUGAGUCUCAGGAACUUGAAUACAGCUGGUGCCUGGUUAGGGAGGACAAGCAGGUCUGGCCUUUGCUAGGGAAGCACGUCACUGGAGGUGGGCUUUGAGGUUUCAGGCGCAUGCCAUUCCCAGUGUGCUCUGCGGCGGGAGAGGUUCCAGAUGAGAGCUCGCCGCUGGCCCUGCCGCCAUGCCUUCGGGCGCUGUCACAGAAGCCAACCCUCCUGUAAGGCCAACGAAACACCUUCUUUCAUAAGCUGUCUUGGUCACGGUGUUUUAUCGCAGCAGUAGGAAGUAACCAGCAUGGCCGUUCUGUCCUGGAGAUGUGAGGGUCACGUCGCUGUGCCCUUGGCAAGCUUUCCGUGGACUGGUCACACUGAGGCAGGUUCUGCCUUCCUGUAUGACUGCAUACCUGAGAUCUUGGGAAGAUGCCAGACAUGGGGUCAAGGUGGGUGGAGGGUAGACCAUUCCUGGGACCUUCAGUGAGGUUCAGCCAAACUUCCCUUUCCUGCAGGAUACAGCCCUGCCCCCUCCAGGCCCCGGGAAUGUCUCCCUGUGAAGGUUGAGGGCCAGGGGAGUAAGGCACCCUAAACCAUUCCGGCACGUUUCCAGCCUAUGCUAAAGGCACCAUGCUUGUGGACUCUGCUUACAGCUAGUGUGCACACCUAUCACCCACCUCUUCAAAGCCUGGCGGGAAGAUGGCUUGCAUGGUAGGCUGAGGAAGUGAGUUCAGAUCCCAGCACCCAAGUAAGCAGCUGUGUGGCUGAGCUAGCCUGUGACCAGGGCCAGCGGUUGUGGAGGGGCCACAGAGACAGGAGGAUCACUCGGGCUUGCUGCCACGAGCCUCGCUCCAGGUUCAGUGAGGAACCCUGUCUCAGGUGAGUCCUGUGGAGCAUGAUAAAGCAGGGUAGCCAGUAUCCUCCUUGUACAUGAAUGUGCACACAUCAUGCGCAUAUGUUCAUACACACACUUUUUUCCCCCCAAAAGCUCUAAAAGUAAAAAAACAAAAAACAAAACCCCACCAGCUUUCAACCAGGUGUAGCUGAGGCAGGAGAAUUGCUGAGAGUUCAAGGCCAGUGUGAGCCUCUCAAACACUAACCAAAGGCUGCAAGCGGUGGAUACUCAGUACCGCUCAGCCUGCUCCCUCCCCUCAGCAUACUCAAUAAAUCUGUUUUCUUCUCCCAAAGCAAGCAAACAACAAAAAAAUCCAUCUUUCGUUUCGGGCUCAUCCGAGGAACAGAUUCAACAGGACUAAGUCCCAUUCAUUCGCUGCCUCUGCUCCAGGCACCGGUCCAUUUCAUAAGUCUGUGGAGUAGCACAUUAGUUACCCUCUUGUUCCAGACGAGGCCGCAGCCACUCAGUGGUUAAGGACUUGACCCAAGGUCACCCAGCGGCCAUUGUCCUUGGCUCGAGCCUCAGAGUUUUCCACUCUGCUUGCUUUCUGAUGGGGACCUUUCAGAAAACCCAAACCCUGGAGACUUUUAGACAGCAGGACGUGCCGUGGAUGAAAGCACCGAGGAGCCGAGUCCUCCUGGGGCCGUCUUUGUGCCGGCGAAUUUAGAAAAGUCUCGGUGCUCAGCUCUGGUUCUAUUUUUAUCUCCUCUCAAUUUUCAGUGGCUCAGGCAGGUUCUGAAGACUCUGUCAGCCUCAGUGGGCACCGCUGCACGCAGCGCGGACUCUAUCUACUGUAGCGUGUGAGGUGGGGUGCUAUCCUCAGCUAACUCUACCCUGUCACGUCUCAUUUCUUUCUUUUAAGCCCCCAAACCACCGUCCACUUCCCCCAAAGAAGCCCCCCCCCCCCGAGUUAGAACUGUAGACGGUAGCAGAAGGAAAGUGUCUGGGCGUGAUACCUCUAGUGGGAAGGCCAUGAGAGUCCAUAAGUUAUGGGAACCCCACUCCGGGUGAAGGAGCAUGGGUGUUAAAAUGCCGACAUACCUCUCGAUAGGAAAAGGUGUUUAUAUAAUAAAUGUCUUUGUAGCGUUGCCCACCUCAUGUUGUCAAAUAUAGCCAUGGAGUUGGGGCGAUGACUCAGGGGAUAAAGCACGUGCUGUACAAGCUUGAGGACCCGAGUUCAAAUCCCCAGAAUCCACGUAAGAGCUGGAUGUGGCACAAGUGUGUGUGGUCCCAGCUGGAGACAGGCGGUGGGGACAGGAGACUCCUCGGGACCUUACCAGGUAGCAAGGGGUGAGCAUACCAGAAAAACAGCACAGACCCAUCUCAGACACGGCGGAAGGUGGCCAGAGGUCACCUCUGACCUCUGAUCAUGCUCUAGCCCAAAUCAGUAAAUGCGGUGGAGUGUGGGGCUAAGACAGGAACCUCCAGCUCUGAAUUUCAAUGGACAUUGGACUUUUGAGGUGUCGGGGAAGCGAGUUCACUGCAGCCUGUAUCGGAUUCUGUCUUUGUUAAAUCGGGCUUCUAUUUUUAAUACCGUAUAAUGCACAGGAAGACUUCAAGCGUGGCAUGAACAAUACCCAAUCUUUCCGUGUGAAUGGAUACACAGUGUUCUUCCCACGUUUGUUUGCUCUGUCUCUGUGGGUGCACCUCUUGACGGUCGGCCAGCUACCCACAGUGUUGGGGAGCAAAUGAAGGCUAGAGUUGCCAGAGGUCCAGUCUCCAGGUAAGAGGCCACCACCGAGCUAGAGUGACAGGGUAACAGGACAAAGCAGCUGGGGGUGUGGCUCAGUGGUGAAGGACUUACCUAGCACUAGGGGGAAAAAAGAGCAAAGAAAAUAAUCGAGACUUGACCUAGGUGGGUCUAGCGGACCGCACUGUAACCCCAGCAUUUAGGAAGCCGAGGGAGAAGGCUCGUGAGUCUCAGUCCAACCUGGGCUACAUCGUAAGCCCUACCUCAAAAAACCAAGGGCUGAGGAUAUGGCUCAGAGUGCUUGUGUACAACCCUGGGUUUGAUCCACAGCACUGAAAAGAAAAAGACAAGACAGUGAAAAGGGAGAGUAGAACUUCUGUUUGUUCAACAAUCAUAUAUAUAUAUUAUAUAUAUAUAUAUAAUUUUAUAUAUAGUUAUAUAUAUUCAUAUCUAUAUAUUCACUAAUUGUCCUGGGCAAUGAAUCCCCUCUCUUGCAAAUGCUAAGCGAGGACUCUAUCACAACCACAGCCCAGCAGACAUUUGCCAACCUCUCUGCCGGAUAGUAUGGUCCGUGCCUUUGCGCUCAUUUCCUCUACAGUUAACUUCCCUGACGAGUGACAAGCUCCUUGAGUGGCUCAGAACCCAGCUUCCUUGUCACGGCUCCCCUGACGGCCUGCCCGACUCCGCUAGUCUAAGCCAGCUCCUCCACAUGCACACUGGCCUUGCUAUUGCUCAUGUCCCCUAAUGCACUGCUGGAGAAUUAUUUGUUUACUUGUCUGUCUCAUUCACGACAUCUUUUUAAAUAGUCAAGGGUUGUUUUUAAUUCUUUGUUAUUGUUAUUUUUCGGUGGUUUCCUUUUAUUUUUAUUUUAUGUGUAUGGAUAUUUCACCUACGUGUGUGUCCGUGCAUCGUAUCUGUGUCUGAUGCCCACGGAGGACAUUGGAUGCCCUGGAUUUGGAGUCGCAGAUGGUUGUGAGCCACCAUGUGAGAUGCUUGGGAAUUGAACCUAGGUCUUGUGGAAGAGCAGCCAGUGCUCCUACCGACUGAGCCACCUCUCGGCCCUGUAGAAGAAAUGUAAUGCAGAAAUGGGAAAUGAGUACAGGUCGGGGACGGUCAGGGAGGGUUGGGGAUGAAGAAAGCCGGGAGGAAAGAGACCCAGUGCUGCGUGCCGGGCCAGGUUUGAGAACUGAGCCUUGGUGGCAGUGGUAAUGAGGGAGAGAGCAGAGGCAGACGGGAACUCGCAUGGUUCUCCACCCGUGAUCGCCUGCAGUGUCGGGAAGUCCCGGGCUUGGCUGCAUUGCCUGGCUUAUGAGUUCUGUGGAGAGCUCACCACUCUUUGUCCUGGGCUGCCAGUAGCUGCUACAGGCCGUCGCCCCCUCCUCUGUGCCCCCCUCAGCAAGCACUUCUGGGGACAGAGUGCUUGGCCACGCUGCUUCUUCAGCACAGGUGGGGAGAUGCCCGUGCUUUCAGGGCAGGUGGGCGUCCGGCAGCAUGGUGGAAGAGCAGGGCCUUUCCAGGUGUGAGCUGGCAGCAGCCCCCAGGCUAGGACCCACCCUCCCAGGUGUCACCUGCGAGUGUCACCUGUCCACAGCUGCCUGUGUUCUUGCUGAUGGAGGAAAGAAAGAACGGGGCUCCUAAUUAGCUCUCUGGGUGUUUUCAAAAGUCACAAUUAUGGCCAAUCACAAUGGCCCAUUCCCAUAAUCUCAGCACUCCCCAGGCUGAGGCCGGAAGAUUGCAAGUUCAAAGCCAGCCUGAUCUAUAGACUGAGACUCUGUCUCAAAAAUAAACAAAUAAACAUCUAUCCCAGUGUUUCCUAGCCUUCUAGGUCUGGUUUACUACCCAGAGGUCCUAGCACGUUUGUGGGUCCGCCUGGGGUGCAGGGAAUGUCCCCAGACUUGAGCACUUGCUUGUCUGUUCGGCCUGUCUGAUGUGAACGUUUACACAGAUUAGAAGUAUGCUUGCAUACUCUGUAGGGCCCGGACGGUGAAGUUCCAGAAACAAACAUCCGAGAGCACAGCAUGGAUGCUUCUCCAGUGUCGGGUGUGACUGUGUCGGUCAGCUGGCAUCCUCGUGGUUACCCAGCACCUGGAGUGGGUGGCUGUUUGAGCCAUGCCCUGAAGCACCACCUCUAAUCAGGCCGCUGUGGCCUUUACGCCUGCCUAUGACCUCGAGGUACCUGCCUCUGGGGCGUGACCACCGGGGACCCUUAAGACCUGGGAUUCUCUUGGCUACCUCGAGGUUUUGGAUGCUGAGAUCUUGGACCAAACCAUCCAGUGGGACAUGGCUCAGCUUUCCUGGACCAAACCGUUCAGUGGUUUGGUUUCCCGGACCCUGUGAUAAAUCUCCUGUGGGUGUGAGUUAAAUAAAUUCCUUUGAUCAUUAAAUAGACUCCGUGGAUUUAUCCCAAUAAACACCCUCCCUGAAGAUAGGACCCCAGGAGAGUAAACCUUCUUCUGGAGGUUUUCCCAGACAAACAGACAAAUCCACAGCCUGCUAAACCCCAAGACAGUGUCCUCAAGCCAAGGGGGGCUGCACACAGGCAGGAAGGCUGUGGAGGAGGGCCCCAGAGCUGGAGCAUGCUAGGAACUGAGUCCAAAGGAAGAAAACAUGUAACUGAUGAGGGUGUUGGAGACUGGAGGGGUCUGAAUGAUAUGACAAAAAGGCUGAGGAGUGAUUCUAGCACCCAGAUGGCACACCGGCCUCGAAGCACUGGGAGAUGUAGGGAACCAUGACUGUCUGCUCAGUUUGUGGGUCCUGCUGUAAGCAGGAGGAGGUAAGGGGGGGCACAUUGGUCUGGCCCUGCCCCUGCUCAGCCUGAACUAGGGGCUAGAUGGAAGGGUGGAUUGGAACAGAGGGUCUCAGUCAGAAGAAUGGGGUGCUCUUUAGCAAUGCUCCCUUCUGGAGUGGUCCUACAGGAGGCCGCCUCUGAGGCAUGGCCCAGAUAGGCUUGCAUUGUAAAAGACACCAGUGUCUUUCUGGUCUUCCUGGAUGAACUCACCUCGUCCAUGCUGUUAGCUCUGAAAUGACUGUUUCAGAUGCUGAGAAGCUGAUGCUAGGGCCAGUUUCCUGGAAUCCCGACUAGCCCGGAGCUAGUCUCACAAACCACAGGGAAUCUGGGGCCAAGGAUUCACCUCCUAAACCAGAAUUCACUGCAUAGA